AUACGGAGGGAGCAAGCGUUAUCCGGAAUCAUUGGGUUUAAAGGGUUCGUAGGCGGGUCAAUAAGUCAGAGGUGAAAUCUUGCAGCUUAACUGUAAAAUUGCCUUUGAAACUGUUGACCUUGAAUUACUGUGAAGUGGUUAGAAUAUGUAGUGUAGCGGUGAAAUGCUUAGAGAUUACAUAGAAUACCGAUUGCGAAGGCAGAUCACUAACAGUAUAUUGACGCUGAUGAACGAAAGCGUGGGUAGCGAACGGGAUUAGAAACCCCAGUAGUCC
rnacentral:rRNA from 1 species